AGGAAUAGUCUCCCUGGAUAGA
rnacentral:miRNA from 1 species